GACGAACGUUGGCGGCGUGCCUAAUACAUGCAAGUAGAACGCUGAAGAGAGGAGCUUACUCUUCUUGGGUGAGUUGCGAACGGGUGAGUAACGCGUAGGUAACCUGCCUUGUAGCGGGGGAUAACUAUUGGAAACGAUAGCUAAUACCGCAUAACAAUGGAUGACACAUGUCAUUUAUUUGAAAGGGGCAAUUGCUCCACUACAAGAUGGACCUGCGUUGUAUUAGCUAGUAGGUGAGGUAAUGGCUCACCUAGGCGACGAUACAUAGCCGACCUGAGAGGGUGAUCGGCCACACUGGGACUGAGACACGGCCCAGACUCCUACGGGAGGCAGCAGUAGGGAAUCUUCGGCAAUGGGGGCAACCCUGACCGAGCAACGCCGCGUGAGUGGAGAAGGUUUUCGGAUCGUAAAGCUCUGUUGUAAGUCAAGAACGGGUGUGAGAGUGGAAAGUUCACACUGUGACGGUAGCUUACCAGAAAGGGACGGCUAACUACGUG
rnacentral:rRNA from 1 species